rnacentral:rRNA from 1 species
AAUACGGGGGGGCAAGCGUUGUUCGGAAUUACUGGGCGUAAAGGGUUCGUAGGGGGCUUGCUAAGUCACACGUGAAAUCCCUCAGCUUAACUGGGGAACUGCGUGUGAGACUGGCGAGCUUGAGUGCAGGAGAGGAACGCGGAAUUCCAGGUGUAGCGGUGAAAUGCGUAGAUAUCUGGAGGAACACCGGUGGCGAAGGCGGCGUUCUGGGCUGCAACUGACACUGAGGAACGAAAGCCAGGGGAGCAAAC